UUGGUGUCUGCAUCGCGAUGGGACGACAGCUGCUAUUAGUUCACUUCCCUCUGACAUAAGAAUAUUCAACUACAGGUAGGACUGAUGCUGGAGUUUUGGUGAAACUGCCGAACAUCCCAAAACAACUAACACGGUCAUCUAUCAACUUGGUGUUGUAGAGCCACAAUUGUCCAGGACGUGAAUGUUACUCUACGCCAAAAGCGAUUAGCAUUUUUCGGGGCCAGACCAUUCAGUUUAAUUGUCGUCAUAUGUGUAAGCUCAUGAUGUUGGGACUUUUUGUUGUGACAUUGCUCCAUGCUGAAGGUGUUGGCCGUUGGGGCGAAUGGAAUUGUCCGAAAAAUUCCUCAACCCGUCGAAAUGCUGGUGGACAACUUUAUAUGGCCCGCAAGAAAAAUCAUUACGUGAAGGACUUUUUUCCUCCCCAUUCAGUGAGAUUGACUAUGGUCAUCGGCAGCUUACAUCUACGUCUUCUGAGAAUGGGCGCAAUCAUCACAAUCAAACCGCCAGUACGACUGCAAUUGGCGUUGCACUACGACGCCAAAUGGUUGGACGUUGCCGUGCGAUUGGUGGAAAUAACGGACCACUUUGUCUUUCGAGAGUCGGCCGUCAGUCCUGCAUUGGCUGACUAUUUUGUAGCUGUCAUUCUAGAGGAAUUCAACUGUAUUCAGUUUGUGUAGCGACGAGUCCUAAAUGGAAAGAUAACGGGUCGUGUCAAUGCAUUACUGACCAACGUUCUGCCACAUGUUUUGCCGAUCGCAUUUCUUUGAGUCAUGACAAGAAACUGGCUUCCAAAUUUGUUUCUUUACCAAAGGAUACUUCGCAUGAAUUUGGAAAUAUCUCAAAUGACGUCCAGCGACGUCAAGACGCUCGGAGUGGCCAACUCUUCUCCUUCCCACCAACAGCAGCUGCAGACGGGCGGCGGUGGCGGUGGCAAAUUGUUGGCCCAGGACAAAUUCUCCUCCUGUCAGAACCGAUUCGUCGUCCUGUGCAUCGAAGCCACCAGCCAAGGGGUGGCCACCGGUGGCAGUGGGCGGGUGAAGCGGACGGCCGAGCACAUCAUCUCGGAGGAUCACUACCAAGCCCACCUUCAGUCGCUCUUUUAACUUGUUCAUUUGUCGUGUUCCAGAAAUCUCUCCCAGGCAAAUUUUCGAUUUCAUUCUGAAAAUGAUUUGCAAAAAAUGACCCACGAGUCGGCCAAAGACCCGAAGGCACUUCUUCGUCUCUGCAUUUCCUUUUUUUUUUAAAUGUUUUUCUAAACUUGGGCAGCUUUUUGGGGGGAAUAAAAAACAAUCCGACGACAAUCGACCCAAAAUGUCGUCGUUGGCAAUUUAUAUAUUUUUGAAUUUAUACCCCUUCCUUGUUUUUCUCUCGCCCCCCGAGGAAUGAUGAGAUUGUCGGUGUGUGUGUUGCAUCAGUCACAAAAUGUGUGCUGCGUCCAAAGUCUUUGAUAUAACACGUAUAUAGCAACUACCAAUUACCCUUGUUAGAUGUCGCUGGCAUCGCUUUGUUUUCUUGUCACGUCAGAACUCAGAAGUUCUUGCUGCUUUCAUGCUGCUUUCUUCGUGAUUUUCUUUAUGUUUUUGGAAUAAAUUCAACGCCGUUUAAAAUGAGAAAACGUGUUGAAAGGGUCGUGCAGCUUACUGCUGUGUGUUCAAAAUCAUUGUAUUCUACUGAAGGUGCCAUCAAAAUGAAACAGGAUUCAUCAUAAUUGUCUGCUGUUUGUAUUGGACUUGCUAGAUCGCCAAUCCCAGCCAUGCCCCAAUUUUGAGUGUACACUACUAACUGUUUAUUAUUUCUAGAUCAUAGACGCCAAGCACAUUGAUGACAAAAACUAUAAACAAGAUUUGAUGAGAAGUCAUAUUUAGAAGGAAAAGGACAAGGACCAUACAGUCAACAAGGUUCCUUGUUUGCUAACCCGUUGGCUGCUACCCUUCAAUCUCCCUGUUUACUUCCUUACACAGGUCCUAUUGAUUUGAGGGUAACUCUUUCGCUACUGAUGACAUCAACUGUU